rnacentral:rRNA from 1 species
UACGGAGGGUGCAAGCGUUAAUCGGAAUUACUGGGCGUAAAGCGCACGUAGGUGGAUAUUUUAAGUCGGAAGUGAAAGCCCUGGGCUUAACCUGGGAAUUGCCUCCGAUACUGGAUAUCUAGAGUAUGGUAGAGGAUAGUGGAAUUUCCGGUGUAGCGGUGAAAAUGCGUAGAUAUCGGAAGGAACACCAGUGGCGAAGGCGGCUAUCUGGACCAAUACUGACACUUAGGUGCGAAAGCGUGGGGGAGCAAACAGG